rnacentral:lncRNA from 10 species
UUUCAAUUUAGCUUCCAUGUAGUUCCCUGGUGCUUGGCAAUCUCCUGACUCACUACCUUGUCACAUGGUCUAUCCCAAGUCAGUCCUUCUCCUCUUCCCAUAUCCCCCUACUCCAAUAUUCACCCAUAUGUGGCCAAGUCUUCCUCCACCUGAGCUCCUUGCAGAGGAAUGAACAAUUGUUUGAACAUUAAUGAAUAUUAAACUUCUAGGAGACUUCUUCUAAGAAGAAUCAAAUCGAACUGAAACCAGAGAGGUUAAGAAGUUUGCCCAAGGUAACAGAACAGAGCCAGAAUUAAACUUCACUCUCUGACUUCCAGAACCCAAGCUCUUAAAGUUUCAACAAGAAAGAAGCAUUAAAGGUCGCAGAGAGCAGAAAAAGGAAGAAAGUAACCGUCACUCGGAUCUUUCCAGACAAGGUUAUCUGAUCAUUUCAAAUUGGGACCACUUAGGAACUUUUUCUGUGUUGUUUCUUUAACUUUCAUGCUCUUGGGUUGAUAGCUUAUGGCAGUGAUAGUCAAGUGUAUCACGCCGUGAAGUCAACUGUUUG